CCAAACGUUAUUCGGAUUUACUGGGCUUAAAGAGUUCGUAGGCGGCAUGAAAAGCAGGGUGUGAAAGCCCUCGGCUCAACCGAGGAAUUGCGCUCUGAACUGUCGUGCUAGAGGAAUCUAGAGGUGAGCGGAACUGAUGGUGGAGCGGUGAAAUGCGUUGAUAUCAUCAGGAACACCGGAGGCGAAGGCGGCUCACUGGGGAUUUUCUGACGCUGAGGAACGAAAGCCAGGGGAGCGAACGGG
rnacentral:rRNA from 1 species